rnacentral:rRNA from 1 species
GACGAACGCUGGCGGCGUGCUUAACACAUGCAAGUCGAACGGAAAGGCCCUGCUUUUGUGGGGUGCUCGAGUGGCGAACGGGUGAGUAACACGUGAGUAACCUGCCCUUGACUUUGGGAUAACUUCAGGAAACUGGGGCUAAUACCGGAUAGGAGCUCCUGCUGCAUGGUGGGGGUUGGAAAGUUUCGGCGGUUGGGGAUGGACUCGCGGCUUAUCAGCUUGUUGGUGGGGUAGUGGCUUACCAAGGCUUUGACGGGUAGCCGGCCUGAGAGGGUGACCGGCCACAUUGGGACUGAGGUACGGCCCAGACUCCUACGGGAGGCAGCAGUGGGGAAUAUUGCACAAUGGGCGGAAGCCUGAUGCAGCAACGCCGCGUGCGGGAUGACGGCCUUCGGGUUGUAAACCGCUUUCGCCUGUGACGAAGCGUGAGUGACGGUAAUGGGUAAAGAAGCACAGGCUAACUACGUG